CCUACGGGAGGCAGCAGUAAGGAAUAUUGCGCAAUGGGCAAAAGCCUGACGCAGCAACGCCGCGUGCGGGAUGGAGGCCUUCGGGCUGUAAACCGUUUUCAGCAGGAACGAAAAUGACGGUACCUGCAGAAGAAGGAGCGGCCAACUACGUG
rnacentral:rRNA from 1 species